rnacentral:rRNA from 1 species
CGGAGGGAGCUAGCGUUGUUCGGAAUUACUGGGCGUAAAGCGCACGUAGGCGGCUUUUGUAAGUUAGAGGUUGAAAAGCCCCGGGGGCUCAACCCCGGAAUUGCCUUUAAGACUGCAUCGCUCGAAUCCAGGAGAGGUGAGUGGAAUUCCGAGUGUAAGAGGUGAAAAUUCCGUAGAUAUUCGGAAGAACACCAGUGGCGAAGGCGGCUCACUGGACUGGUAUUGACGCUGAGGUGCGAAAGCGUGGGGAGCAAACAGGAUU